rnacentral:misc_RNA from 1 species
CUUCUCUCUUGCCGCACUUUCACUGGAGCACUGUUUCGCACGUCCGUUUAGGUCGCCUGUCCAGGCGGAACUGACUUACUGAAAUGAUUGCUGAUAGUACUAUGAUACACCAUUCUUAUUUCUCGAACUGUUGUCCAAAAACAGCGACAUGUGUGGCGAUGAAGAAUUCACCGAAACACUUGGAGGAUUUACAUUUUGAGUUAACGGAGAAUUAGGUACUGGUGGAGGUGUUGGUGCUCCCGUAUUAUUACAAUUGGUACCAAGAGUAGCACUGUAUAAUUUAGUAUCACCCUUUUUAUCAUUUGAAUCUUGUUUACAUUCUUGAAGAUCCGAAGAAGAUUCGUUUAUAGUAUCCAUAACAGCCUCGGUAUAAGUACUUGGAGAUUUUUCGACACUGUACACCGUACGAAACUUCCCAAGUUUAUUGUUUUCUACUUCUCUCUUUGGAUAUAAUUCACGUUUGCUUGUUAACAUUAAAUAGUAUUUUAAAGUAAUUUCGGUUUUUUCUGCUUGUGGAGGCUGUCCUAAAUGUGAUACAAUCAGAACAACAUCGAAAUCAUCGAUGUAUUUAGUAUCUUGUGCGUCACAGUAACUAAUUAAAGGAGUACUUUUUAAGCUUACUAGAACAUAUUCACUUUCUUCAGAAUCUUGAAGAUCACUUUUCAUUAUAAAUACACGCAUAUUAUAAGUCUUCUCGUGAGAUAAUAAGUAAGAAUAUAAGGUCCGACCUGAUAUCGCUAAAUUGCGAAUAGUCACUACAUCUAAAAUAUAAAAAUACGUUUAUUGUAACUACUAAUUUGCUUAUUUGUGCUUUUC